rnacentral:sRNA from 16 species
GUCGGAUAUGGUGAUAUGACUCCGCACACAUCAUUUGGAAGGCUUGUUGGGUCGCUUUGUGCCGUCAUGGGUGUGCUCACAAUUGCACUUCCGGUUCCGGUAUGUAUUUUAAU